CCUACGGGAUGCAGCAGUGGGGAAUAUUGCGCAAUGGGCGAACGCCUGACGCAGCGACGCCGCGUGAGGGAUGAAGGUCUUCGGAUCGUAAACCUCUGUCAGCAGGGAAGAACGGUCACUGUGCUAAUCAGCAGUGAAUUGACUGUACCUGCAAAGGAAGCACCGGCUAACUCCGUGCGAGCAGCCGCGGUAAUAAGGAGGGUGCGAGCGUUAAUCGGAAUUACUGGGCGUAAAGCGAUCGUAGGCGGUAUGUAAAGUCAAGGGUGAAAUCCCGUCGCUCAACGUGUGAACUGCCUUUGAAACUGGCAAACUGGAGGGUGUGAGAGGAUAGUGGAAGUCCAGGUGUAGGAGUGAAAUGCGUAGAUAUCU
rnacentral:rRNA from 1 species